rnacentral:rRNA from 1 species
UACAGAGGUGGCAAGCGUUGUUCGGAAUUACUGGGCGUAAAGCGUGCGCAGGCGGCUUUGCAAGACAGAUGUGAAAUCCCCGGGCUUAACCUGGGAACUGCAUUUGUGACUGCAUGGCUGGAGUGCGGCAGAGGGGGAUGGAAUUCCGCGUGUAGCAGUGAAAUGCGUAGAUAUGCGGAGGAACACCGAUGGCGAAGGCAAUCCCCUGGGCCUGCACUGACGCUCAUGCACGAAAGCGUGGGGAGCAAACGGG